rnacentral:rRNA from 1 species
AUUGAACGCUGGCGGCAGGCCUAACACAUGCAAGUCGAACGAGUGGCGGACGGGUGGGUAAUGUAUGGGAAACUGCCUGAUGGAGGGGGAUAACUACUGGAAACGGUAGCUAAUACCGCAUACCAUCAGAUGUGCCCAGAUGGGAUGAGCUAGUUGGUGGGGUAACGGCUCCCCAAGGCGACGAUCCCUAGCUGGUCUGAGAGGAUGACAAGCCACACUGGAACAGAGACACGGUCCAGACUCCUACGGUAGGCAGCAGUGGGGAAUAUUGCACAAUGGGCGCAAGUCUGAUGCAGCCAUGGCGCGUGUAUGAAGAAGGCCUUCGGGUUGUAAAGUACUUUGAGCGGGGAGGCGGUACUCGCAGAAGAAGCAGCGGCUAACUCCGUGCCAGCAGCCGCGGUAAUUC